UGUGAGACUGCGGACGGCUCAGUACAUCAGUUAUAGUUUAUUCGAUUGUGAAAUCCACAUGGAUAACCGUGGAAAAUCUAGAGCUAAUACAUGCGAAAAAAACUUGUGUAUUGAGAAAUCAAUGCAUAGGGGAUGCAUUUAUUAGAUUAAGCCAAUCAAUAAUGUUAUGGGAUAACUGUAACAUUGUUGUUGUGGUGAGUCUGGAUAACUGUGCCGAUCGUAUGGCCUAGAGCCGGCGACGUUUCGAUUAAAUUUCUGCCCUAUCAACUUGUUGGUAAGGUAGUGGCUUACCAAGGUGAUAACGGGUAACGGGGAAUCAGGGUUCGAUUCCGGAGAGGGAGCCUGAGAAACGGCUACCACAUCCAAGGAUGGCAGCAGGCGCGCAAAUUACCCAAUCCAGACACUGGGAGGUGGUGACGAGAAAUACCAGGUCGUUCCCAAAAGGAUUCGACACUGGAAUGAGUGCAACUUAAAAACUUCAACGAUUAACAACUGGAGGGCAAGUCUGGUGCCAGCAGCCGCGGUAAUUCCAGCUCCAGUAGUGUAUCCAAACGUUGCUGCGGUUAAAACGCUCGUAGUUGGACAAGAGAGUAGUUUGGUGCGGGCGGGGAGUGUAAUUAUUCUUUGUGAGCAUUUGUUAUAAAGACUUGAAUCUGUUACUUUGUAAUAGAUUUAGGUCCGGACAAACAGCUGCUUAGAUAAAUCACUCGUCGACCAUGCUGCCAGUCUACUUGUAAUGUUUCGUGAGAGUAGUACAUGGUCUUUAUUGUAUUGUGUACUGUGUCUUACGUAGUGUGCCUUGAAUAAAUCAGAGUGCUCAAAGCAAGCAAUUGCUUGAAUGUUAAUAGCAUGGAACGAAUGUUUUGUGGAAGUGAGUUAUCGAGUGCCAUUUUUGGUAUGAGGUAAUUCACAGCACCAACCACGAAGCGGAACAUUGGUUGCCGACUUCGGGUGAUGAUUAAGAGGGGCAUUUGGGGGCAUUAGUAUUUGGCCGCGAGAGGUGAAAUUCUUGGACCGGCCAAGGACUAACAAGUGCGAAAGCAUUUGCCAAGUAUGUUCCCUUUAAUCAAGAACGAAAGUGAGAGGUUCGAAGACGAUCAGAUACCGUCCUAGUUCUCACYGUAAACGAUGCCAACCAGGGAUCAGUUCGGAUGUACUUCAUUUGAUCCAGGUUGGUCCCCCUGGGAAACCUUGAGUUUUUAGGUUCCGGGGGGAGUAUGGUUGCAAGGCUGAAACUUAAAGGAAUUGACGGAAGGGCACCACCAGGGGUGGAGCCUGCGGCUUAAUUUGACUCAACACGGGAAAACUCACCUGGUCCGGACAUCGAUAGGAUUGACAGACUAAUAGAUCUUUCAUGAUACGGUGGGUGGUGGUGCAUGGCCGUUCUUAGUUCGUGGAGCGAUCUGUCAGGUUUAUUCCGGUAACGAACGAGACCACGUUCUUCAUUUAGGGAACUGGAGGACAAGUAUUGACUUUCGUAAUCAGCUGAUAGUAUUGUAUCUUUGGUAUGAUGCUGUCAGUCGGUUAUGUUAGAUGGUACUUGCUACUCUGGUUUGCGUGCAGAAAUGCGCGUCCCUAUGGAGAGACAGCCGGAUUGUAAGCCGGAGGAAGCGUGGCAAUAACAGGUCUGUGAUGCCCUUCGAUGUUCAGGGCCGCACGCGCGCUAC
rnacentral:rRNA from 1 species